CAAGAGUUCACAUCGACGGGGAGGUUUGGCACCUCGAUGUCGGCUCAUCGCAUCCUGGGGCUGUAGUCGGUCCCAAGGGUUGGGCUGUUCGCCCAUUAAAGCGGUACGCGAGCUGGGUUCAGAACGUCGUGAGACAGUUCGGUCCCUAUCCGUCGUGGGCGUAGGAAAUUUGAGAGGAGCUGUCCUUAGUACGAGAGGACCGGGAUGGACAUACCUCUGGUGUACCAGUUGUCGUGCCAACGGCAUAGCUGGGUAGCUAUGUGUGGACGGGAUAAGUGCUGAAAGCAUCUAAGCAUGAAGCCCCCCUCAAGAUGAGAUUUCCCAACUUCGGUUAUAAGAUCCCUCAAAGAUGAUGAGGUUAAUAGGUUCGAGGUGGAAGCAUGGUGACAUGUGGAGCUGACGAAUACUAAUCGAUCGAAGACUUAAUCAAAA
rnacentral:rRNA from 1 species